rfam:TPA: Bos taurus chromosome 15, whole genome shotgun sequence.
UCCCUGGUGGCUCAGAUGGUAAAGCACCUGUCUGCAAUGCAGGAGACCUGGGUUCAAUCCCUGGAUUGGGAC